UUACGAACCUUCUUCCAACGGACAUAACAUAAGCAAGCACGCCAAAAAGCUUCAGACUUUACGCAAACCCCCAAAAUUAGACAAAUUCGAUUUAGGGUUUUUUUCUAAUUUUCCCCUAAGUCCCCAAAUCGAAUCUCAAAUCCUACCCAUAAGCAAAAAGAUGGCGACUAUUUCAGAUUCUUUGAAAGGUAAAAAACGCCCGCGAGAGACAGACGCUGAAGCCGCAACCGGCGACUUCGAUCAAAUUCUAUCACUAGAGGAAAAUCUUACAUUCAGCGACACGUUGGUGGCGCUUCGGAUAAUGCGAGCUCAGUUUCCGAACAACGAAAAGGUAACGGUUCAGCCUUUCAUUUUGCGGUCACAGCUGUAUAGCAGUGUGGAGGAUCGAACACAAGUGGACCGGGAUCUAGAGACUCUAAAAAGAGAGAAAGUGCUACGGGUUUUUAAAUUAAAUACUGGACAAGACGAUCAUGCAAUAAUGUUUUUGGAUGACUAUUUUCGCCAGAUGGAAAAAGUUGUGAAAAGAUUCGAAGAAAAGGACGAAGAUAUUGUUGAAGUUUUUAAGUGGUUUAAAUCACACGUUAUUGAUUGCAAGCUUGAACCCAGUAUUGGACAUCAAGAUCUUUGUACAUUAUUAUCUCGUGGAGGAAAGGUGGAGGAUGAACACAUCUCCCUUUUGAUCAAUUCUGGCCUUCUUACUCGUCAACUUAUUGAUCCAAACGUUUACUGGUUCGCAAUUCCAAAUAUUGGUUCAGUACUAAAAGGCCUCUCUCAGGGAAGAAAGGAAGUUCUCUCUCUUCUAAACCGGAGGAGAUACAAAGAAAUGAUGAUGGCCCCUUUAGAGAAGAAGGCUCUUCGAUUUUCUCCGCUUGAUAUGAGAUUUCACCUCCGUGAUCUGAUAGGCUCAGGCCAUCUCAAAACUUCCAAGACACCGACAGGCUUAGUUGUUCGAGUCUCAAAAGAUUGAAGAAAAAGGAAUAGUAGGAGCAGCCCCGUUGAUUAAUAAGAUUGUUGUGCUUCUCGUGGCUGUCUAUGUUAUUAUAGGUACAGUGAUGCAGGCUUUGAAGUGAUUGCCUUACAGCGCUGAACAUAUGGUCUACUAGUUACAUGACCAAAAUUUUUGCAGGUCGUCCGAUGUGGAUGAACAAAGACAUCGUAUCAGCGAACCGACCCAACCCAAAAGCCUAAGCAUAAAGGAUAGAAGAUCUGCUAGUAGGUUACUGCAAUACAGUAGAAUACACCAGGAGCUCCGUUUGUUACACAUCUCGCUGCUAUUACCGAACUACUACCUACGAUGCUUUAUCCCAGUAGUUCUAUUAUUUAAAGCUCCGGAUGGCUAUAUUUUCAACAGACCUCAGUCGAACAUUGGCAUCACAUUCUCCAUGGAAUUCCACCAUAAACCAACCACUGCAAUGCCACCACCAUCCCAACCCUUGCAUAUCUCUGGUGAGGCUUGAUGCCAAAUAGAACUACCAGGUGUGUAAGUCAAUUUGUUCAGGAAGAAAAGGCCGCGCCAUGCCUCUCUGAAUCUCAACAUGCUGCUAUUCAGUUUUCACCAAAACCUCAUCUUUCUUCGGAGUAUGUCGGAUGUCGAGGCAGCGGAGCUGUCGCAGAUGAUCUGAAAGCACCUGGUCCGACUUCGAGAUACAACAGUUGGCGACAUACUCCAUCGUUUUAAUAUUUCAAGUAGUUUAACAUGCUAGACUUAGCAGGCUGGGGCAGGUGAGCUGAUAACCUUCCAUAUCCUGCUUUUGUGUAAUUGAAAUCUGGGCUUUUUCCCAAGAAUCUCAUUUGUCACUUCUUUAUCCAAUUCGAUGUGAAUCACAACAAA